AUCACAACAUGAUAUUUAGCUGGAUUGAUACAAUUGCUGAGAACUAUCCACCUCCUCUGGAUGCUAACCUGGUUAUGUCCGUAAUGUCCAUGUGGACUAGAUUACAACCUGCUUAUGCUGCUAACAUGUGGAAUGAAGCUCUCAACAAGCGGCUAGGAACCGAGGGUCUAGAAUUGCAUGAGAUUAUCGCUGAGACGGAAAGACGAGGAAUGACUUUCGAUCAAUUGCUCACCAUUCCUGAACAAGAUGAAUGGGUUUAUAGCGAUGGCAAAUCGACAACCUGCGUUGCUUUCAUUCUUGCGUUGUAUAAAGAGGCUGGCAUAUUUGGUCCUGUUGGGGAGUCCAUCCAGGUUACUGAAUUCACUAUUCGUGAUGCUUACAUGCUCAAGAUUUUCGAGAACAACCAAACACGACUUCCGAGCUGGUGCAAUGCAGAGGGCGAGGAUCUCCCAUUUUGCCAGAUACUAGGUGAGUAUCGCAUGGAGUUUCCUCUAUAUAACACCAUCGAGCCUUAUGCCCACAUGAAUGAGAACUGCCCCUCUUUGCCUCCGAGUUACGAGAGGCCUAUUAGUUGUUGAUCGUAAGCACGGUACCGACCUUCAAACUGGGUUGG
rnacentral:misc_RNA from 1 species